CGCGCGCCGCCACGCAUUCCAUCACCGCCACAGGCCGACGCCACGCAUUCCAUCACCGCCACAGGCCGACGCCACGCAUUCCAUCAACGCAUAUCCAAGCAUCUUUUUUCUCGCGAAGUGCGCCUCCAUUUCGCCUCUCCCUCGCCACGGAGCGCCUCUCUUACCACCAUGGCGACGGAUCUGCCUCCCUGCGCCACGGGUCCACCAUGGAGACGGACCUGCCGUGAUGGCGCCACGGGGAUCCACCACGAUGGCAUGGCGACGGAUCCACGGAUCCCUGCGCCCGAUCCAACACCAACGGAGACCUAGGGACACACACGCGCCAGACCUCGGCCUACUCCAAGGUAGACCCAUCUUGGCCAGCACCAGAAGCGCCAUGGGCAGUGAAGAGCAGCAGCUGUACGACCACACCCAGCCAUCUCCGCCAUGGCUACAGACUGCAGCACAGGGUCCAGCAUCAAAGGCUUCUUCUCUUCUUCCUGCACUACCCAUGUCAAGCUCUGUGGCGUUGGAUAAAAGAAAUCCUGAAUCUAUUCUUGAUGUACUGAGAGAGCUUUCUCUUUAUUGUUUCUUGUGACUGAUUUGGCCUCCUCCUGCCUCCACACGUGCAGUGCAGGGUCUAUCUCCACAUCACAAGUCUGAUGGGUCCUUGGUGGUUUUCUCAGUUUGACCCUGCUGCUGAGGAUGCACAAGCUGCUCCUCGUUCAUUCGAGGGGUCAUGUGGGGCCCCUGGCAGUGUCACACGGGCCAGCGGGGCGGACUACUAGGCGCGGGCGCCUGCCCGAACACGCACGGGCGUGAGGGCGUGUCGUGGCCGGGCCAUGGCUGCACCGACGACAGGGUGGCAGGGACAUGCGUGGGCAGCCAGCGAAGGCGAAGCGGGUGGCGCAUGGACGUAGGCGGCCUUGGUCACGAAAGCAGCAGCAGCACGGGCAGCCGAAGCAAAACAGGGGCGCGGCAAAGAGCAGCAGCAUGCGGGCUUGGUCGUGGCCGGGGCAUGGGCAUGCAUCAACAGGGCAGGCCCGUCGCAAGGCAGUAGGUAGCGGUGGCGGGCGGUUGCAGUAGCUGAAGGAGUAGCAGGCGGGAGCAGUUAGCAGGGCAAGCAGCAUCGACAACAGCAGCUUAGAACAAGUCAAACGGAGCAACCUGCACCUACACUAGUAGAAAAUGGGUCCAAUGUGAAGCACAUUAGUGCCGGUUUUAUUUUGAGCCGGCCAGCUAGCCGUUGGAACCGGCACUAAAGUGAGUGGUGACAGGAUGUUGUUAGUCUGGGGCCCCUCCAGCAUCUUUAGUAUCGGUUUGUUGCACGAACCGGUGCUAAAGGUUCUCCUACAUAAACCCUUCGUCCACCAGCUCACUCUGUUCUUCCCCUUCCCCCUCUCCUCUCUGUUCUUCCCCUCUUCCUCUCAAC